rnacentral:lncRNA from 1 species
UGAUACGUCCGUCCAUCAAUCAGACAAUCCCUGAUGAGUAAUAAUAAUUAAGGAGGCAAUGAAUAUUUUGCUGUUUGUUUAGUCGUGAAACAUCGUACUUGUUUCACGAUUGUCUGACACGUGUCUUCAGGUGAGCACAAUGUCUAUGGGCGAACAUUGAAUCUGUGGGUCAUCACAGAUCUCAAUCCCGUGGGCAGUUUCACCAUUCAACUUCUGGUUAUCAAAUACUAUAUACAAUAUUAAUACAGAAAUCUACAAAACCAUUGCCUUGUUUCUAAAUCGAAACCGGCGGCGGGCGGUGGCAACAGCAAUUCCCACCGACCAGAAGAAGAACCCAGAACUGAACAAAGGCCCAUAGUUAGACAUGUUUCGACAAAGACAUCAAAAACGAAAUCAAAACAUCAAUUCAACCAUCUUCUUCCAACUUUGACAACACAUCCAAAAUCUUUAUUCCAUAACGCAGCAAUCUUAUCGAUUUAAGAAUCCCAAUCUCAAUCUUAUACUCCACCAUGGAAGGCGGUAGUGGAGUUCAACCUAAUCUGCCGUCGGGAAUGAUGGGAUUAGAAAUGCAGCAAAUUCAACACCAUCAACAACAGCAACGUCAACGUCAACGUCAGCAACAGCAGCAAUUUCUACCAUUCUCGUCUUCUCAACAGCAGCAGCAGACACACCACGAAUCAACCUCACAGAAACACUACGCAAUGACGACGAAUAAAAUUCAACCCAAACAACUUCAACAAUCGCUACCACCGCAGCCAACAGCAACAUAAUUUAUUGCAAUAUAAAUUCAACAUAUCAAUAAUCAGGGAAAAUUUUUAUAUUUAUAAAAAAGGAAAAGGUGGAAAACGAGAUAGUGCAUAAAAUCUGAAAUAUUGGGUAAUAGACAUAGGAACUCAACAAAAAUUGACAUUAAUCGAUUUUGAUCUAAGAGAUGAAAUAUAUAGGGAAAUAGAUGAUCGAUUACAUAAUAAUAAAAAAAUUUCAUAUAGAAUACCGAAACGACAGAUUGGGUUGGGGAAGAACACACCCAAAAAAAAGAGUCUAGCCAUGAAUCAUUUAGCAAGAGAAAAUUAGGUGUGAGACAUGGAAACAAGUGAUCUUGUACCUUUACGGAAAAUAUUUGAAUAAGAUUAAACUACCGCACCUCACUUUCGACAUUGGAGACCUCGCCGGCGUCUUCCCACUGCCAUCACCACCGGUAUUCGACAUAAUGGUUGUGGUUGAGAAAACCGACAGAGAAAUAAUCGCGGAAACACUGGAGUAGAAAAAUCGCCGCAGGAAGAAAGAAAACUAGAGAGAACGAUAGAAAUGAGAAUGGGAGGUAAUGGAGUUGGAAAACCUAGGUCAAAGAUUUUAACUUUUCCUCAAUGGACGCGUCCUCAGAUCACCCAACGGUCCGCCGAACAAACCAGUGCACUCUGUACUAUCCCUUCCCGCGCAGCAAAUGGUACACGCAAUGUCAGAUUAUAUGGGCGAACGGUCGAAAUUAAUUCCAACGAAUUGGACGGCUAGGAUUAGGUUCUCAGAUAGUGCUCACAUAGGGGGUUCUUAGUAGAAGCUUUCUGUAUAUAUGUACAUAUGUACAUAAAAAUUCAAUUUUAGUUGGUGGGCUUGACGAGCA